AUUGAACGCUGGCGGCAUGCUUUACACAUGCAAGUCGAACGGUAACAGGCCGCAAGGUGCUGACGAGUGGCGAACGGGGGAGUAAUGCAUCGGAACGUGCCCAGUCGUGGGGGAUAACUACUCGUAAGAGUAGCUAAUAUAGCAUACGAUGUAUGGAUGAAAGCGGGGGACUGUAAGGAUUAGUGCGAUUGGAGCGGCAGAUGUCAGAUUAGGUAGUUGGUGGAGUAAAGACACACCAAGGCAACGAUCUGUAGCUGGUCUGAGAGGACGACCAGCCACACUAGGACUGAGACACGGUCCAGACUCCUACGGGAGACAGCAGUAGGGAAUAUUGGACAAUGAGCGCAAGCCUGAUCCAGCAAUGCCGCGUUCAGGAAGAAGACCUUCUGGUUGUAAACCUCUUUUGUUCGGAACGAAACUCCUCUAAUUAAUACCCCGUACUAAUGACGGUACCUUAAGAAUAAGCACCGGCUAACUACUUG
rnacentral:rRNA from 1 species